rnacentral:rRNA from 1 species
UACGUAGGGGGCUAGCGUUGUCCGGAAUCAUUGGGCGUAAAGAGCGUGUAGGCGGCUCGAUAAGUCCGCUGUGAAAGUCCAGGGCUCAACCCUGGAAGGCCGGUGGAAACUGUCGGGCUAGAGUCCGGAAGAGGCGAGUGGAAUUCCCGGUGUAGCGGUGAAAUGCGCAGAUAUCGGGAGGAACACCAAUGGCGAAGGCAGCUCGCUGGGACGGUACUGACGCUGAGACGCGAAAGCGUGGGGAGCAAACAGG